rnacentral:lncRNA from 1 species
CAGGGACUUCGCUCAGUUGUUCCACCACCUGCCUCGCAAGCAGAAGGACCCAAGUUCAAUCCCCGUCUUAACAGCUAUGAGAUUCUCUAAUUCAGUGAAGUUAUUCGAGGUGGAAACGGUGAUGCUGCUUGCGCUCCGGUCUUCGGCGAGCCCUUCCAUGAGUCCCUAAAAUACCCUUUUGCUGGGCUGUGUUCUAUUGGCCCUUCGGCAGCUGUUCUGAGUCUCUGAACCCUGCAGCUAUGUUGCCUGCAGCCAGUUGCUGGGCUGGUUCAUGUGAUGCCCACUCACGAUUAGACGUGCCAUGUAAGUUUUGUGGAAACACCACAGAGGCAGCUCUGUGCUUUGCUGGGGCAUCAUUUCUGGAGGCACUGACCAUCUGUCUUAUCUCAUGACUGGCCAUGUUAAUUUUGAACAUUGGUUAAGGCCUUCCUCAUCCAAUUUCUAAAACUGCAAAACUACUGUUCUCUCCUUGGUUAAUUAACUUGCAAACACGAUUUAAAACUACAGGAGCUGGGCAUGGUGGUGCAUGCCUAUAAUCCCAGGACUCAGGAGGAUCGCUGUUGAGUUCAAGGCCAGCCUGGGGUAUAUAGCAAGGCCAUGUCUUAAAAAAAAAUAAUACAGGAAACGUGCUGUUUCUCCUUGUACCUUCAUCAGGUAUUUUUG